GCCCGGCUAGCUCAGUGGUCAGAGCUUCGUACUUAUGAUGCGAGGGUCACCAGUUCGAUCCUGGUGCUGGGCA
rnacentral:tRNA from 1 species